rnacentral:rRNA from 1 species
ACAUGGCCCCUGGAUUGGACUGCGGCCGAUCAGGCUGUUGGUGAGGUAAUGGCCCACCAAACCUAUAACCGGUACGGGCUCUGAGAGGAGAAGCCCGGAGAUGGGCACUGAGACAAGGGCCCAGGCCCUAUGGGGCGCAGCAGGCGCGAAACCUCUGCAAUAGGCGAAAGCCUGACAGGGUUACUCUGAGUGAUUUCCGCUAAGGGGAUCUUUUGGCACCUCUAAAAAUGGUGCAGAAUAAGGGGUGGGCAAGUCUGGUGUCAGCCGCCGCGGUAAUACCAGCACCCCGAGUGGUCGGGACGAUUAUUGGGCCUAAAGCAUCCGUAGCCGGUUCUGCAAGUCUUCCGUUAAAUCCAGCCGCUCAACGGAUGGGCCGCGGAGGAUACUACAGGACUAGGAGGCGGGAGAGGCAAGCGGUACUCAGUGGGUAGGGGUAAAAUCCUUUGAUCCAUUGAAGACCACCAGUGGCGAAGGCGGCUUGCCAGAACGCGCUCGACGGUGAGGGAUGAAAGCUGGGGGAGCAAACCGGAUUAGAUACCCGGGUAGUCCCAGCUGUAAACGAUGCAGACUCGGUGAUGGGCUAGCCUUGUGCCAGCCCAGUGCCGC